UUGAAAUUUUGGGAGCAUUGAGAUUUAUAAGCUAAUCUUUGAAAUACAUAAGUUUUUCUGGAUUUGAAGGCAAUUUGGAUUUUUAGAAAAUUUCUAAGUGUAAGGGACUAGUCGCCAUUAUAGUUUGGAUCAUUCAACUUCAAAGAAGUAAUUCUCAUGAUUAGAUCACUAGAUUGCAAUGAAAUUUAUUAGAACAAGAGUGUCUUUAAGUUAACCUUGCAAUAAAUAAAGAGCCACUCAAUUUGAAGCUAGUUACAAUUUUUUGCAAAUUUUGGAGUAGAAGGAGGUUGCUGCCUUCAAUCCUUCACUUUUACCUCUCUUAUUUUAUUUUUACUUUUAUCUUCACAAUGACUCGUAAUCUCUACAUUUCAACUUUUGGCUAAUAAAUUUUAAAUUUUAACUUUUACCCUUUAGUAUUCUCAUUUUAACUUUUAACUUUAACUUUAACUUUAACUUU
rnacentral:lncRNA from 1 species